rnacentral:rRNA from 1 species
AGCCUACGGGAGGCAGCAGUAGGGAAUCUUCCACAAUGGACGAAAGUCUGAUGGAGCAACGCCGCGUGAGUGAAGAAGGGUUUCGGCUCGUAAAGCUCUGUUGGUAGUGAAGAAAGAUAGAGGUAGUAACUGGCCUUUAUUUGACGGUAAUUACUUAGAAAGUCACGGCUAACUACGUGCCAGCAGCCGCGGUAAUACGUAGGUGGCAAGAGUUGUCCGGGUUUAUUGGGCGGAAAGCGAGGGCAGGCGG